UGCAUCGAUGAAGAACGCAGCGAAAUGCGAUAAGUAAUGUGAAUUGCAGAAUUCAGUGAAUCAUCGAAUCUUUGAACGCACAUUGCGCCCGUCAGUAUUCUGGCGGGCAUGCCUGUUCGAGCGUCAUUACGCCCCUCAAGUCCCCUGUGGACUUGGUGUUGGGGAUCGGCGAGGCUGGUUUUCCAGCACAGCCGUCCCUUAAAUUGAUUGGCGGUCUCGCCGUGGCCCUCCUCUGCGCAGUAGUAAAACACUCGCAACAGGAGCCCGGCGCGGUCCACUGCCGUAAAACCCCCCAACUUUUUAUAGUUGACCUCGAAUCAGGUAGGACUACCCGCUGAACUUAAGCAUAUCAAUAAGCGGAGG
rnacentral:rRNA from 1 species